rnacentral:rRNA from 1 species
GAUGAACGCUGGCGGCGUGCCUAAUACAUGCAAGUCGAGCGAACGGACGAGAAGCUUGCUUCUCUGAUGUUAGCGGCGGACGGGUGAGUAACACGUGGAUAACCUACCUAUAAGACUGGGAUAACUUCGGGAAACCGGAGCUAAUACCGGAUAAUAUUUUGAACCGCAUGGUUCAAAAGUGAAAGACGGUCUUGCUGUCACUUAUAGAUGGAUCCGCGCUGCAUUAGCUAGUUGGUAAGGUAACGGCUUACCAAGGCAACGAUGCAUAGCCGACCUGAGAGGGGGAUCGGCCACACUGGAACUGGGACCCGGCCCAGACCCCCAGGGGGGGCAGCAGUAGGGAAUCUUCCGAAAGGGGGGAAAGCCUAAGGGGGAAACGCCGGGGGAGUGAUGAAGGGCUUCGGAUCGUAAAACCCUUUUUUUAGGGAAAAAAAUAUGUGUAAGUAACGGUGCAACUUUUGACGGUACCUAAUCAGAAAGCCACGGCUAACUACGU